GAUUUUUAUAUAGAUUCCUAAUCUCUAAGUCACAUAAAAUCUUCUAGUUCUUACCCAAUGUCAGAUAAUUACUAAUUUCUUUAAAAACAUGAAAUAUGCAGAAUAAAAAAUAUAUAUGUUUGUAUAUUUUUAUAACUCUACAGUCUUUGGGGGAUUCCUGUCUACUAUUUAGUUAAAUCCACAUACAUUUCAUUUACACAUUUGAAACACAACUGCUUAUAUUUGGAGUGGGGGGACAAGAGGGAGGUGAAAAUGGAGCCCCUGGGAUUUUUAGGUCUCUGUGACAUUCUACAGGCAUUUCACUAUUUGCCUCUUUAAAAGGAUCUGAACUUCACAAAACAAGCUACAAAAUGCACACUUAGGUCCCUUUCCCAACUUCUGUGUCCUCACCUAUCCACUGUCUUCAAAGUAAUUACUGCUUUGCUUAGUCCUCAUUUCUCCUUUCAGAUUGGAGUCAUGGGGGUAGUAACAAGCGCUAGAAAUUAUUGCUCAGGAGCAUCAUUGAACAUCCCUUACUCCUAGUUUCCUCCUUCACUGAUGAGGCAGCCUGAUGAUAGUAGAUAUACUAGAGAUAGAGGGUCUUUGGGGGAAAAGGAAUAAACCUAACACUGCCAUCAGAUGUUGCCCCCUUUUAUUCCUUUUGUUUAACCCUCACCCAGAUACUACAAAAUACUGGUAGUGGUAUAACCCCCACCAGGUUCAGAGUCUUUAUGUUGGAACAUAGUGCCCCCAUUGGAUACUCUUUUCUUCCAGGAGGGUGAGGAGAGAUGAAAAAGCACAGUUCAGUCACUUCACGGCAAAAGGAAAAGGACCCUCCACUAUCCUAUCUACCUCCCUCUCCCAGUUCCCCUGCCACUGCAGGGGAAAAGCAUGGAAGACUGCCUUUCAGGUGAUCGAUACCCUGUGAUGCCUGAAUGAUGGCCAGGAAUUCUCUGUGCUUUUGUGUUCAGAGCAGGGGAGAGGACAGUUUUCCCCCUGGUUGUAUCCUGUGCCCAGUCUUAUCUCAGGCAGAAUUGCUCUGACUGCCUAUACUUCAAUUACUGCCGAAUAUUGCCUUGACAAGUCAAGUGAACUUAACCCUGAGGCUGACACAUCAGAACAUAACUUAUUAGCUCUGGUGGCUCUCUUACUUCACUGUCGUACAUUGCUUUCAUUUUUCUAUAUUAAUGGUUAGAGGGAAGGAAGAAUAGAGACCAGCCUAAGAUAAAACCAAAAAUAAAUCAAUAAAAUGAGGGGGUGAGUAUGUGAGAACAUCUUACACUCCAGUGUCAGGGGUUUUUGUUAAUAUUUUAUAAAUGAUUUCCCCCCCCCAAGUUUUCCUUUUAUAAAAUUCCAUAGAGCCAUGUUUAUGAUACAGCCAUUUAAUAUAUGUACAAAUUGUAAAGAAUGUGUAUAAAUAUUUUACACAAAAUGCAUGUAGAAGCAACUUAUAAAAUAAAUUGUUAAAACUGUACAGUAAAUUCUCAAAGCACUUUUUCAAAACAAUACCUCAGCAUUUUUUUUCCACUUUAAUUGUUGUUUGAUGUAUGUUUCUGAAAAAUGGGAUGGAUUGUGAAUUUAUUUCUUUUGACUUACUAGAUUUUAAAAAUUGUUUUACUUUAUUUUCAAAUUAAAAUCCAC
ensembl:lncRNA